rnacentral:rRNA from 1 species
GUGUCAGCAGCCGCGGUAAUACGAAGGGUGCUAGCGUUGUUCGGAAUCACUGGGCGUAAAGCGCGCGUAGGCGGCCAGACAAGUCAGGGGUGAAAUGCCGGAGCUUAACUCCGGAACUGCCUUUGAAACUGUCUGGCUUGAGACUCGGAGGGGAUAGCGGAAUUCCUAAUGUAGAGGUGAAAUUCGUAGAUAUUAGGAGGAACACCGGUGGCGAAGGCGGCUAUCUGGACGAGUACUGACGCUGAGGCGCGAAAGCGUGGGGAUCAAACAGGAUUAGAUACCCCCGUAGUCC